rnacentral:rRNA from 1 species
AGAUUGAACGCUGGCGGCAGGCCUAACACAUGCAAGUCGAGCGGUAGAGAGGUGCUUGCACCUCUUGAGAGCGGCGGACGGGUGAGUAAUGCCUAGGAAUCUGCCUAGUGGUGGGGGAUAACGUUCGGAAACGGACGCUAAUACCGCAUACGUCCUACGGGAGAAAGCGGGGGACCUUCGGGCCUCGCGCCAUUAGAUGAGCCUAGGUCGGAUUAGCUAGUUGGUGAGGUAAUGGCUCACCAAGGCGACGAUCCGUAACUGGUCUGAGAGGAUGAUCAGUCACACUGGAACUGAGACACGGUCCAGACUCCUACGGGAGGCAGCAGUGGGAAUAUUGGACAAUGGGCGAAAGCCUGAUCCAGCCAUGCCGCGUGUGGUGAAGAAGGUCGUUACGGAUUGUAAAGUCAACGUUUAAGUUGGGAAGGAAGGUUUGUAAACGUUAAAGUUACGUUAGACCGAACGUUUUGAACGUUACCGAAC